GGCCGCGGGAUUAGAGUUUGAUCCUGGCUCAGAACGAACGCUGGCGGCGUGCCUAAAACAUGCAAGUCGAGCGAGAAAACCCGCAAGGGCCAGUAAAGCGGCGCACGGGUGCGUAACACGUGGGUAAUCUGCCCCGGAGUGUGGGAUAACGUCCCGAAAGGGACGCUAAUACCGCAUAAGCCCACGGGAACUUCGGUUCCUGAGGGAAAAGGCGGCCUCUGUACACAAGCUGUCACUCCGAGAUGAGCCCGCGGCCCAUCAGCUAGUUGGCGGUGUAAUAGACCACCAAGGCAAUGACGGGUAGCUGGUCUGAGAGGACGAUCAGCCACACUGGAACUGAGACACGGUCCAGACUCCUACGGGAGGCAGCAGUUGGGAAUAUUGCGCAAUGGGCGAAAGCCUGACGCAGCAACGCCGCGUGAGCGAUGAAGGUCUUCGGAUCGUAAAGCUCUUUCGGCCGGGACGAAAACCCACCGUUUAAUAAGCGGUGGCUUGACGGUACCGGAAGAAGAAGCACCGGCUAACUCUGUGCCAGCAGCCGCGGUAAUACAGAGGGUGCAAGCGUUGUUCGGAAUUAUUGGGCGUAAAGCGCGUGUAGGCGGCUUUGUGUGUCGGGUGUGAAAGCCCUCGGCUUAACCGAGGAAGUGCGCCCGAAACUGCAGAGCUUGAGUGCCGGAGAGGAUAGCGGAACACCCGGUGUAGAGGUGAAAUUCGUAGAUAUCGGGUAGAACACCAGUGGCGAAGGCGGCUAUCUGGACGGACACUGACGCUGAGACGCGAAAGCGUGGGGAGCAAACAGGAUUAGAUACCCUGGUAGUCCACGCCGUAAACGAUG
rnacentral:rRNA from 1 species